UACGUAGGGUGCGAGCGUUGUCCGGAAUUAUUGGGCGUAAAGAGCUUGUAGGCGGUCUGUCGCGUCUGCUGUGAAAAUCCGGGGCUCAACCCCGGACCUGCAGUGGGUACGGGCAGACUAGAGUGUGGUAGGGGAGACUGGAAUUCCUGGUGUAGCGGUGAAAUGCGCAGAUAUCAGGAGGAACACCGAUGGCGAAGGCAGGUCUAUGGGCCAUAACUGACGCUGAGAAGCGAAAGCAUGGGGAGCGAACAGG
rnacentral:rRNA from 1 species